GUCUGUGGGUACUGGCGAGCCACGGCCUGCUGAGGCUGCUUUGUGCCAACCACCACAUGCACAGGCAGGAGAGGCAGCAAGCUCCACCUUGGCUGAGAAGAGCUGAAGUUCCAGCCCAUCACUUGGACAUGCCUACAGGAAUCGCGUUUACAGCUGAUUCAGAUGCCUUCUAUGGUGCUACAACCCAACUGAGCUGCUGAGAAGAAAAUAUAUUUUUAUCACUCAUAAGCACAUCUACUGCCUCAUCCCAUUCCAGUGACAUGGGCACAAGAAAACAAGGAGAUGCAGUUUCAGAAGUGCUACCCUGGCCUGACACAGAGGUGAUGUGAUGGAAAUAUGGCAGAGCACUGUGGAAAAAAUGAAGAGGAUGACACCAGAGAAUAAUUGACACAACACCCCUCAGGAGAUUUGAGAUGGUUUGAUCUUCAUCUGGAGACUUGUCAAAAUUCCAUAGAAACCUAAUAGCCUGCCAACAUGGGUGGUUGCUGCUCGCAGGCAUUUUGACAUGGCAAAGGUCCUGUCUGUAUGCUGCAAACCUGUAUCCAUCAAGGGCUGCCUGGAACAGCAUGAAACCAGGAGCUGUGCGGUGUCAGAACGCCGUGUGCAGGAUUGCAGGGGUUUCAGAGCAGACUGGGGCAGAAGUGUUAGAGCUAUUUAGCAUCCCUCUAGGCUAGGAAGAGGCAGAACUUGCUGGAAGUUUGUGCUUACUCAUCAGUCAUUGGAUGUUUGGAGCUUGUGGAGGAGGAGGUUCUCACUGGGCUUUGGCUGGACAUGCCAUGAAGAGCUUUGUCUGAGAGACUUGCAGCCAAGAACACAGAUUUACCUCACCACAGGCUGGUGGAUCACACUUGGACUUCACAAGGAAGAGAGGAGGGGCUGAGGAGGCACUUGGAGAAAUGGCCUGACUAGGUCCCACACAGCUUCUAAGCUGUAGUAUGGCUAUGACAGAGCGAGGGGUGGAGUUGGAUGUGCCAGGCUCUGGGGGAGAGAUGGGCUCUUGGGAAGCAGAGCAGUAGGUCCCUGGCAGAGGAGAAAUGCCACUUGUCUGGCUGGAGGUAUGGCACUCCAUUCAGCUUGUGGAUAACACAGCAGUGCAAGGCAGAAAGCAGAGCUGGCUAAAACUGGCUAAGAUAAUUCUAAGAAGAUUAAAAAUAAUUUUGGCAAUUAAUGGAUAAUUCAUAUUUAUCAGGAUUAUAAGAAAGAAGAAGAAUAGCUUACAGCUGUAGAUUUAAGUGCUUUUUUUACUGUCCUGGCACACUGUAAUUGCAGCAAUGAGAGGCUGAAGGGUCUCCUUGGAUUACACUGCCUGCAAUUCAGGUGAUACUGCAAACACUUCUUUAGUUCUCGUGGAUCUUUAUUGGAAAACUUGGGCCAUAGAUACUUACUGGUGUGCAUAUUGCAUCUCCGUCUUAUGGCCUUCAUGCAGCUUAUUACUAAACAUGGAAGAAAUUAAUUCUCCCUAUAUUUCAUUUCUAUCACAUCUGACAGCUUUGUAGUUUGUGUCUAUGUGUGUGAUAUUUGUGGCCAAGUAUUUUAACAUAAAAAUUCCUUUUGCAAGGCCAGAAAAAUAUUUUUCCUAUACUUCAUCUCCCACUUUUUUCAGCAAUUUUGAUGAUGAAGUAACGUUAAUAGAAUAAAGUUUACACUUUAUCAAACAAAUCUCAGAACUACACUAAAUUAACCUAAUUAAAACAAGAUUCUUGCAUCUUUUCAGCUGCACUUUCUUUAAAAGUAUAUGUACAUCCAAGGCACACCCAAAAAGACCAGACUAUAAAGCCAUCAGAUUCUACAGAGAAUUAUACAAAACUUUGAUAAUUCAUUGCAUUAGUAAAUUAAAGUGCAUCCUGUCAGAAAAUGAAAAAAGGUGUUUCUGUUAUAAGUGCUUAUUUUAUAUAAGAGUUAUCAAAUUACUCAGUUGUCAAAAAAACACCAGAACAAGAUGGGACCUCAAGAAGUUAUCUUCUGAUUCAUACUCGGAGAAGUUACCCUCCUGGUUCAUACUAAGAGAAUCAUUCUCUUCCACACCAACAAACUUUCAUCUAACUGCAUCUUGGGAACCUCCAGUGACAGAGACUACACAGUUUUCCCUCAUCUCUUUAUUCCACUGCUUGCCAUUCCUGCUGUUAGGCAGCUUCUCUGCAGGUCUCAUCUGCAUAUCUCUCUUCAUUCACUUGGAGCUGCUUCUCCUGUUUUUUACCUCCACAGACAUGAAGGAUUAUUUCCUGCUGCUCUGCAAUAGUUUUCUAGGUAUUUGUGACCUCAGCUUGGUCAUAUUUUAUGUAAAACAGCUCUGAUUCAUCCAGUCUUGCACCAUUACCCAUGAUUUCUAGAGCUCUGUCUGCUUGUGCUUCUACCUGGAUGUUCUCCACCAUGACUUCAUCUUUCUUGAAAUGAAUGUCUAAAGCUGAACAGAGUAAUUUUAUGAAAGCCUUGGCCACUCUGGAUAGAGAGAUAGAGAGAGCAUUAAGAGUUUAUUAGUUCUUUUUCAGACAUCCCCAAAUGAGGUUGUGAGAGAAUAAAGGUCCUGAAUUCAGCUAGAGAACUGGUGAAGACUAAAAUCUCAUGUAUUAAGCUGCUACAUGUUUGAAACUGGAAAUCCAGGCAGACCCUUGAUGCAUAUUCUUUAGGUGGCUCAAACACAGCAUGCCAUUGUGUAGUGCUGCUCUUGUUCUUAGCCUCACAUUUCUGAAGGUUAUCCAGCAGGGAAGGGAGGCCGUCCUGGAAGUGAAUUGUAGUAAUGGAGCCUGAGCAUGACCUGUACAGGAAGUGAAGAGGCUGCCAAAUUGCUAUGCCCGUGAGCCCCACUCUCAUUAUCAGCCUAAACGAAUGCACACACCCCGUCACUUUCAUCCUCUUCCAGGUCCAAGAAAAAGAAAAAAGGAGGCAAAAAAACCCAACCAACCUUCCACACAAAGAGGUGUCUCUGAAGUCUGGAAUGCACCCUGGCUGUUUGAAGACAAGAUUUAUACCUGACACCCUCCUUUAAGCUCAUUGUUGAGACUCGCCUGCGUUCAAAUCAACCGCAGACUGGCUGCUGCAGGUACCUCAUCUUACAACAACCACAUCAUCCAAGAUAAAUGCACCAGGAAUUGCUAUCACUUUGAGGUGAAAAAAAAUAAAUGGGUGGGGGGGAGCAGAAAUCAAACCUCUGAUGCAGGUAGUGGGUGGAGGAAAAGACAGAUGGGCAUGAAGGAGUGUGUAAGGGUGUGACCAGGGAAGAAGCCAGCGACAGCCGCCAGCCUGCGGCGUGGGGUGCAAGGAUGAAAUGGCUCUGGCUGCCUGUGUGGGCACCUGUGUUUUGGCCCAGCCUCUCCUUGCCUUUGGCAGCCAGGCUGUGGGACCAGGCAUUGGGUGGGAUCCCUAAGCCACCCCAGUGCCAGGGAAGCGGUAACCACUCGCGUGCUUGUGAAGGACUGGAAGGAGCUUUUUGACUUGCUGGGAGACAAUGAGAAGGACUGUUGCCAUCGAUUCAUGUCAUUCCCAUGUCAGGCAGGCCUGACUUCAUUUUAGGAUCCUGUCCCUAAGUAAGCUGUGGUUAGCUACUUUAAUUCAGCUUCUUAAAUUUCUCUGGAGGAAAACCCUUGAUAGUAAGGACUUAAUUUUACACUGAAUCUGUCUGGUGGGAGGCAAAGCCAUAGGGCACUGAGAUAGGUGAAGCAAACAAUAGGAGAGACAGAAGAGUGUGCUCAGAAUAGUGUCAGGAUGUAGAGAAAUACAGCUGAACCUCCUAGAGCUCAGGCUGCUGAAACUCUAGGAUUGGCAGGAGUUGAGCUAGCUGUUGAAGGCUUUGAAGCAAUGCAGGCAGAGGACGUCUGUCAUAAUGAGAGAAUAACACCUGGCAAUUGGCAGAGAUACUUAUUGCCUAUAUCAUACUAUUGCUCAAAGGCCCAAUAAAAGUUGGGGUAUAAGGAUGCAAUUUGCGGUGUAGAACCAGCUAAGGAGCAUUUUCCAGGGUGAAGAAUUACCAUGGCAUUUGGAAUAAUGCCCCAUUAAUCCAGGGCAUUCAAAAAUGGUUUUGAGAAGAUAUUCUGAAAUUAAACUGAUAGAGAAAAGACGGCAGAAAAGAUGACAGCAUAGGUAGUUAAUGCAAAACUUUAAAGUUAGAAAAACCUGCCCAUCUGAAGCAUUUCAUAAUGCCUAUCUUGGAUCCAGAGAUCAGAAAGCAAUACGGGAUUAGCAAAAAACUAAGGUUCCUACACAGGUUUGACCUGCUGUUGGGCAGGACCCAUCAACAUGUUCUGGAUUUAACCCAACAGAAAGAUCUUUGUUUGGUUUUCUGGUUCUCCUUUGUCAAGCAGUUAAGUCUCAGGGCUUUACAGGGCUUCUUCCAAAACUUAUGGGCUGACAGGGAUGUUUGAGAUCUGGGAAAAAGGAGCUGGUUUAAUUCAUUUCAGUUAUAGAAAACUUUCUAUAUUUAGGAUUUUAAAUUAUGUUUCAUUAAGAAUGCAAAUUAUGAGCAUUUCUAGGACUCCGGGUACGUGCAUGUCCCAGCUAGCACACAAGCCUCAUGCCACUACAAAUCUGAAUAAGGCAGGUUAAGUUUGCAGCAGAAUUAAAAUAGUGCAAAAGCAAGGGCAGGAAGAGAGCUUGAACAACACAUUCAACUGUUGUCGACUUGGGUGGGAGGAGAAACAUCUACACUAGCACUGAAUUGACACAACUGCAUAUGAAGCUGCAGCAUCAAUCUCAGCUUGGCCACAGCAAAAGAUUCUCAGAGAAAUCGGUUUCAUCAACCCAUGACCAAUGUAUUUAAGAAUGGAGCAUGGCUCCACUGCAGCAAUCAGGGGAAAUGUUGCAGACACUUAGCCUGGAGCCUCCAUAAUUUGUGACACCAAGCUUCUGAGGAAAUAGCAUUCAGUAUUUCAUUCUGACAUUUCAGCUCUUGACAGCGCUACAGAAUGCUGCUUGAACCUAAAGUCAAAUGCAAUAAACUGUGCACAUCUUUGCCCAAAAAACCCCCAAAACAACUCCAACAAAACAAAAAAACAAACAACAACAACAGCAACAACAAAAAAAACACAAAAAAACCAACAAAAAAACCUAAAAAAUCCAAACCAAAACCAUGAGCAAGGCUAGUUCACAUUGCCAUCACAGGGAGCCACAGGAGUGGGAAACAGAAAUACAUGGCUCUAAGCAGCUGCUUCACUGCUGACUGCCUAUUAAAAAUAACAGAAUUUUCAAGAAACAGUUACAGGCACUAUCAUAGCCUUCUGGCCUAAACACAAAAUCAUAAAACCAUUUAGAUGGAAAAAGAACUUUAAGAUCAUCAAGUCCAACUAUGAACCCAGCAUUGCCAAGUCCACAACCAUGUAGAUUCGUUGCAUUCUUCCUUCCCAGAAGGAUCUUCAGCUUCUCCCAAAACAAGUUGUAACAAAGAGUGAUAAAAGACAUCAGAAGAUGCAAAUAUGAAUAUGGAUGACAAACUUGUACAUUAACUGAGAUUGUUCACACAAUUGUUUGUGAUUAACUACUUGGCCAGGGUAUAAAUGUAUUUUGUAUUUGUACACAAUGUGCAUCUGUUGCUGGUGUUGAACAGCUCCUACUGCAAUAAUAUGCUAAAAAGGUUCCAGGAAACUUCUGUAUACUGGUAACCACUGGAACUUUUAAAAUUUCUUCUGAGCCAAUGAAAAAUGGGAAUACUUAUUUAUAUGUUAUAUGUACAUAUAUGUAUGCAGGGCUACAUGGUAGAUCCACGGACAUGUUUUAGGCUCAAGAUAGAUUUCUGCAGCCUAUGAAAUUUUGUUUGUACUUUUUCCAUCCUUUGUGUUUCUGAUCUAAUAAUUUUACAGUUCUGAAAAUGUAACUUCAAAGUUUGGUGCUCGUUAUGUUAUUAAAGAAUGGGAGCACCAGCAAUGAAUUAGACAGCAAAUACCCUGGAUUCACCAGCAACUCCUUCUCCACCCCCAGAGAGAUGCAAUCUUUCUCCUUGUACUCCAAGCAUUUGCUGGUUUUGUCCUCAUUUGGUCCUUGGCCUCUUUAUUAACUCUGUUUUCCCUUACCACACAUGCUUUGUGGGGCCAAUGACUCCUUUUUAAUGCUGUGUGGCUCCUCUGGCUGCUAUUCCCCACUCCACUGUAGCUUGAGCAGCACCUCAGUGGAAACAGCAGCUAUCCCUUCCCCCUGCCAGCACCCUGUGCUGUUCCCACAAUCACUGCUCAUGUCCCUGCUGCUCUUCACACUCUUGAAAGCCCAAACAGGAAUUGAGCAUCCUCUCCUACAACCCUCAUGUUUGCUUCAACCCUGACCCUCUGUUCUACCUGCUCUCUUCAUGCACCUGUUCUCCACAGCCAUUCAACUCCCCAUGGAAAGAAGGGGCUGGACAGAAAUCCCAGGAAACUCACUCUCACCUGCUUGGUGCCUAUUGCUAGCAGGGCAAUGUGGCACCAUGUGUCACCAGCCUCUGCCUGCAAAGGGGUGGGCAAUGCAAGAUCAUCUUGCAAAUUGAAAUACAGCAGCAGGCAUGUUUAUGACUUGAGAGGGCUGUGAGGAGAGCCUCUUCUUGCCUCCUGGCAUACCUGUUUCUCUCCAAGAGUUGAGCACAACCUGCCUGAUUCAGAGUCCCUUGGAGUCCCCUAGGCCCUGGUCUGGGGCAGCUCUGAGGAGAUGGCUUAGUCUGACUAAAUAUGUGCUCUGUGUAAGCAGUGGAAAAGUCAUAUUUCUAGUGGUAGCAAUGUAUUCUAUAGCAAAAGCCUGUAAUAGAAAAUUAUUUAUUUCCAUGACUAUUUGCUUGAAAUGAAAAAAAAAAAGGUUAUAGAAACAUAAUUCUAGAAGAUAAAA